UGCUCCUUCUGAUCAGUGGCGAACGGGUGAGUAACACGUGAGCAACCUGCCUCAGACUCUGGGAUAACCUCGGGAAACCGGGGCUAAUACCGGAUAUGCGGCUCCUCCGCAUGGAGAGGGUCGGGAAAGUUUUUCGGUCUGGGAUGGGCUCGCGGCCUAUCAGCUUGUUGGUGAGGUAGUGGCUCACCAAGGCGACGACGGGUAGCCGGCCUGAGAGGGCGACCGGCCACACUGGAACUGAGACACGGUCCAGACUCCUACGGGAGGCAGCAGUGGGGAAUAUUGCACAAUGGGCGCAAGCCUGAUGCAGCGACGCCGCGUGGGGGAUGAAGGCCUUCGGGUUGUAAACCCCUUUCAGCAGGGAAGAAGCGAGAGUGACGGUACCUGCAGAAGAAGCGCCGGCUAACUACGUGCCAGCAGCCGCGGUAAUACGUAGGGCGCAAGCGUUGUCCGGAAUUAUUGGGCGUAAAGAGCUCGUAGGCGGUCUGUCGCGUCUGCUGUGAAAACCCGAGGCUCAACCUCGGGCCUGCAGUGGGUACGGGCAGACUAGAGUGUGGUAGGGGAGACUGGAAUUCCUGGUGUAGCGGUGGAAUGCGCAGAUAUCAGGAGGAACACCGAUGGCGAAGGCA
rnacentral:rRNA from 1 species